GACGAACGCUGGCGGCGUGCUUAACACAUGCAAGUCGAACGGAAAGGCCCUGCUUGUGUGGGGUGCUCGAGUGGCGAACGGGUGAGUAACACGUGAGUAACCUGCCCUUGACUUUGGGAUAACUUCAGGAAACUGGGGCUAAUACCGGAUAGGAGCUCCUGCUGCAUGGGGGGGGGGGGAAAGUUUCGGCGGUUGGGGAUGGACUCGCGGCUUAUCAGCUUGUUGGUGGGGUAGUGGCUUACCAAGGCUUUGACGGGUAGCCGGCCUGAGAGGGUGACCGGCCACAUUGGGACUGAGAUACGGCCCAGACUCCUACGGGAGGCAGAAGUGGGGAAUAUUGCACAAUGGGCGGAAGCCUGAUGCAGCAACGCCGCGUGCGGGAUGACGGCCUUCGGGUUGUAAACCGCUUUCGCCUGUGACGAAGCGUGAGUGACGGUAAUGGGUAAAGAAGCACCGGCUAACUACGUG
rnacentral:rRNA from 1 species